GGAGUUUGUUGGUUGUGCUGUGAUGAGGGCUGGAAUUUGUUGGCCGUACUGUGAAGAAGGAGUCAGUGCUGUGAGGAGCUGCCCAUGAGAAAUCACUGAGAAGAUUGUGUGUCCAUCUGGUCUUUUCUAAGGUAGGAAAAAAAGCUGCAGAAGAGGAAUGAAAGCAUCUUUUGCUCCGGUUGUGAUGGAGAAAAAAAUCUCAAGAGAAAAUAAAAUGAAGACCAGAAAAUGUUAGAUACUGUGCAUCGCAGAGGUGACAAAGCCAGCCCCAAGGGAGGGCUGCUGGAUGGGCAGCAUGCUGGAGGCCCUCUGGAACUGCUGGAUCCAGGUCUGCUCUCAGAAGGACGUUCACUGUGUCAACAUCCAUGCAUGCCAGGCAAAACCUGGGACCAACCAUAGAUUUGAAGACUGGAAAAUCUCUUGUGCUAUUAUUUGAUUUUCAAAAAUACCUAGAACCCUGGCUCUGACAUGGAAAUCCACAUUUUAUCUUCCCUUGCAAGAGACCUACCCCUACCAGUCUUUCUAGUGAAUAGAUGUAAAUUGUAA